GGGUGAGUAACGCGUGGGUAACCUGCCCUGUACACACGGAUAACAUACCGAAAGGUAUGCUAAUACGGGAUAAUAUGCUUUAGUCGCAUGGCUGAAGUAUCAAAGCUCCGGCGGUACAGGAUGGACCCGCGUCUGAUUAGCUAGUUGGUAAGGUAAUGGCUUACCAAGGCGACGAUCAGUAGCCGACCUGAGAGGGUGAUCGGCCACAUUGGAACUGAGACACGGUCCAAACUCCUACGGGAGGCAGCAGUGGGGAAUAUUGCACAAUGGGCGAAAGCCUGAUGCAGCAACGCCGCGUGAGCGAUGAAGGCCUUCGGGUCGUAAAGCUCUGUCCUCAAGGAAGAUAAUGACGGUACUUGAGGAGGAAGCCCCGGCUAACUACGUGCCAGCAGCCGCGGUAAUACGUAGGGGGCUAGCGUUAUCCGGAAUUACUGGGCGUAAAGGGUGCGUAGGUGGUUUCUUAAGUCAGAGGUGAAAGGCUACGGCUCAACCGUAGUAAGCCUUUGAAACUGAGAAACUUGAGUGCAGGAGAGGAGAGUAGAAUUCCUAGUGUAGCGGUGAAAUGCGUAGAUAUUAGGAGGAAUACCAGUUGCGAAGGCGGCUCUCUGGACUGUAACUGACACUGA
rnacentral:rRNA from 1 species